rnacentral:rRNA from 1 species
GACGAACGCUGGCGGCGUGCCUAACACAUGCAAGUCGAGCGGGGACAUUGCGACAGANAUGAAGUUUUCGGAUGGAUWGGAAGAUGUAAUGUUCUAGCGGCGGACGGGUGAGUAACGCGUGAGCAACCUGUCCCUUACAGGGGGAUAACACAGCGAAAGUUGUACUAAUACCGCAUAAGACCACAGGRYGACAUCRUCCAGGGGUCAAAGGAGCAAUCCGGUAAGGGGUGGGCUCGCGUCCGAUUAGAUAGUUGGUGAGGUAACGGCCCACCAAGUCGACGAUCGGUAGCCGACCUGAGAGGGUGAUCGGCCACAUUGGGACUGAGACACGGCCCAAACUCCUACGGGAGGCAGCAGUGGGGAAUAUUGGGCAAUGGGGGAAACCCUGACCCAGCAACGCCGCGUGAGGGAAGAAGGUUUUCGGAUCGUAAACCUCUGUCCUUGGUGAAGAGGAAGAGACGGUAG